ensembl:lncRNA
CCCAUCUCUGAACAUGACUGUAUUGAGGACCAGUCCUUCAACAUAUGACUCUUUGGGAACAUUCCAAAUCUAGACUAUAGUAGAUGUUACAGAGAUCGGCAAAAUAGGGGUAGUCAAUAGUGCCAGAUUACCAAACGGGAUUGAACUCAGACCCUUGCGCUUUUGAGGCAGGUAGCAGAACCACUGAGCCUAAAUCCCAGGCCCUUGGAGUUGUACUUCUAAAGGAAUUCACCACAUAAAAAAGAUUAGCGAUGGCUGCCUGAGGAUCUGCCCAAGAAUGACACUUCCAGACCGGGAAGUUCAUCACCAACUGACAAUUUCAAAG